rnacentral:rRNA from 1 species
GAUGAACGCUGGCGGCGCGCCUAACACAUGCAAGUCGAACGAUUAAAGCACCUUCGGGUGUGUAUAAAGUGGCGAACGGCUGAGUAACACGUGGGCAACCUGCCCCUCUCAUUGGGAUAGCCACGGGAAACCGUGGAUAAUACCGAAUACUUCGAGUCUCCCGCAUGGAAGACUCGAGAAAGCUCCGGCGGAGAGGGAUGGGCCCGCGGCCUGUUAGCUUGUUGGUGGGGUAACGGCCUACCAAGGCAAUGAUGGGUAGCUGGGUUGAGAGACCGACCAGCCAGAUUGGGACUGAGACACGGCCCAGACUCCUACGGGAGGCAGCAGUGGGGAAUCUUGCACAAUGGGCGAAAGCCUGAUGCAGCGACGCCGCGUGCGGGAUGAAGGCCUUCGGGUUGUAAACCGCUUUCAGCAGGGACGAGGCGAAAGUGACGGUACCUGCAGAAGAAGCCCCGGCUAACUACGUGCCAGCAGCCGCGGUAAUACGUAGGGGGCAAGCGUUAUCCGGAUUCAUUGGGCGUAAAGCGCUCGUAGGCGGUCUGUUAGGUCGGGAGUUAAAUCCGGGGGCUCAACCCCCGUUCGCUCCCGAUACCGGCAGACUUGAGUUUGGUAGGGGAAGGUGGAAUUCCUAGUGUAGCGGUGGAAUGCGCAGAUAUUAGGAAGAACACCAGUGACGAAGGCGGCCUUCUGGGCCAUAACUGACGCUGAGGAGCGAAAGCUAGGGGAGCAAACAGG